UACGGGGGGAGCAAGCGUUGUUCGGAUUUACUGGGCGUAAAGGGCGCGUAGGCGGUCACAACAAGUCAGUUGUGAAAUCUCUGGGCUUAACUCAGAACGGUCAACUGAUACUGUCGGACUAGAGUGCAGAAGGGGCAACUGGAAUUCUCGGUGUAGCGGUGAAAUGCGUAGAUAUCGAGAGGAACACCUGCGGCGAAGGCGGGUUGCUGGGCUGACACUGACGCUGAGGCGCGAAAGCUAGGGGAGCGAACGGG
rnacentral:rRNA from 1 species